rnacentral:rRNA from 1 species
CCUACGGGAGGCAGCAGUGGGGAAUAUUGCACAAUGGGGGGAACCCUGAUGCAGCGACGCCGCGUGAGUGAAGAAGUAUUUCUGUAUGUAAAGCUCUAUCAGCAGGGAAGAAGAUGACGGUACCUGACUAAGAAGCCCCGGCUAACUACGUGCCAGCAGCCGCGGUCAUACGUAGGGGGCAAGCGUUAUCCGGAUUUACUGGGUGUAAAGGGAGCGUAGACGGCAGGGCAAGUCUGGAGUGAAAGCCCGGGGCCCAACCCCGGGACUGCUUUGGAAACUGCCAUGCUAGAGUGCGGGAGAGGUAAGCGGAAUUCCUAGUGUAGCGGUGAAAUGCGUAGAUAUUAGGAGGAACACCAGUGGCGAAGGCGGCUUACUGGACAGUAACUGACGUUGAGGCUCGAAAGCGUGGGGAGCAAACAGGAUUAGAUACCCGAGUAGUC